GAGAUACCCCUCACUCUGGUU
rnacentral:misc_RNA from 1 species